UACGGAGGGAGCUAGCGUUGUUCGGAAUCACUGGGCGUAAAGCGCACGUAGGCGGAUUUUUAAGUCAGAGGUGAAAUCCUGAGGCUCAACCUCAGAACUGCCUUUGAUACUGGGAAUCUUGAGUAUGGUAGAGGUCGGUGGAACAGCAAGUGUAGAGGUGAAAUUCGUAGAUAUUUGCUAGAACACCAGUGGCGAAGGCGGCCGACUGGACCAUAACUGACGCUGAGGUGCGAAAGCGUGGGGAGCAAACAGG
rnacentral:rRNA from 1 species